rnacentral:misc_RNA from 1 species
AAGUCGUAACAAGGUCUCCGUUGGUGAACCAGCGGAGGGAUCAUUACGAAAAGGAGUUCUCGGACUCUUAAACCCUUUGUGAACCUUACCUAUCGUCAGUUGCUUCGGCGGGAGGCCCCUGGGAGGGGCCCCGGGGCCCGGCCUGAGCCGGGCUCCCGCCGGAGGAGCGCAAACCAAACUCUUGCUGUACCUCAGUGGAACAUCCGAGUUAAAACAAAAAAAACAAGUUAAAACUUUCAACAACGGAUCUCUUGGUUCUG